AAGCAGGCAUGCAAGUGUCCCCACAGGUAAGGAUAGGAUUGAAGUGGUGACCAGUGGACCUGGGCCCAUUUCUCAAGCAUGCAUUUGAUUUCUUUACUCAGGUGCAGCUUUCCUGGGAGGCAUGGCACCUGCUGGAAGGAAGAUAGUCGAUUCUCCUGAGUAAGGAAGGCCACGCAGUUCUGGUUUUGGUGUGGCCUGGUAUCCACAGUGCACCCUGUGCUGGUGGGUGGCUCAGGACGUGUCAUUGCAUGGAAGGAAGACCCUUGUCCAAGAAGGAUGGUCUUUGUCUUGUGUGAUCUUUGAGAUGCCAUGAGGCCCCUGGAUACACAUGGUGUGGGCUCCUUUGGAGGCUUUUGGAUUUCUCAUGAAUGUGGCGUUGGUAUGGAAGGAAGGCCAGUGACCACAAGGGACGAUCUUGAUCUUGGGAGAUUUUUGGAGAUGGUGAAGUGCCUGUAAACAUGUGUGUCAUGGUUUCCUUCAGGCUGGUGGACACCUCAGGACAGUGGCAUGGGCAUGCAAAGAAAGACAGAGGCUGCAGGGAUGAACUUCAUCUUGGGGGAUCUCUGGAGUUGGUAGGGAACCCCUGGACACAUGUGGCAUGGGCUCCUUCUGGUGCUGGUGGAUCCCUUUAUAUGGUGGACGUGAUGAAUUGGCCAGGCCCAUGUUGGUGA
rnacentral:lncRNA from 1 species